GUCACAUGCCCUAGAGAAGCUGAGGGCACUUAGGUCUGAUGCCCAGUCUGGUAACCUCUAGGGGCAAGAGGACUGGAAGACUGCCUCUACAUGCAUCUGAUCACUUCAUGCCCAUUGUUCAAUUAGUAUGCUCCUAGCAUGCCUCUACCUCCCAGGCCCAGAUCCUUUCCUUGGGUGGCACUGGGCCGUCCCUCCACCAGAUAAAAUGGAGAAGUAAGCAUAAUGGCUUUCUUCCUAGCCCACGUGCUUCCGCCAUCCUCUUCAUCCCAGUUUCAGAGGCCCAUUGUCAGUUUUCUCCCCGCUGGGUAGAGGUUAUUUGUUUCCCACAUAGCCUGCUGAGCAACUUACUCUUUACCCAGCAGCGUCUAAAGCACUGUUGCUGUUACAGGCUGCUUUCACCUCCUGAGUUUAUCUUGUAAAGAAAAAAAAAGACAAAUGACUUCUUUUGGCGCUCUUGGUGUGGUUUCAAGGGAAUGAAAUCCUAAGGAUGUGUUCUGUUCAUCUUGGUAGCUGGGGUUCUGUGUUCCUUUUUGUAUUAUGGGAAUCUGUCAGCAUUGAUGAUGCAAAGUCAAAGGCUUCUGGGUCUUUAUGGAAUGCCUUUGGAGGAGACGACUUAGCCGUUAAGAGCACUUGGCUUUUCUUCCAGAGGACCCAGGUUGGAUUCCCAACAUCCACAUUGCACCUCCCAAUCAUCUAUUACUUAAGCACCAGAGGAUCUGAUGCUCUAUUCUGGCUUCUGUGUGCUACAGGUGCCUGCUUGAUGCACAAGCAUACAUGCGGGCAAAAUACUUACACACAUAGAAUAAAAUAAUAAUGAAAGCUUUUUAUAAAUGAAAAUAGAGCAGGGAAUGAUGGCAGGUAGAGGCAAGCAGAUCUCUUGAGUUCAAGGCCAACCUGGUCUAUAAAGUGAGGUCCAGAACAGUCAGGGCAACAGAGAGAAAUCUUGUAUCAAAAAG
rnacentral:lncRNA from 1 species